CACGUAGGGGCCAAGCGUUGUUCGGAAUUACUGGGCGUAAAGGGCUCGUAGGCGGCCAACUAAGUCAGACGUGAAAUCCCCAGGCUCAACCUGGGAACUGCGUCUGAUACUGGAUGGCUUGAAUUCGGGAGAGGGAUGCAGAAUUCCAGGUGUAGCGGUGAAAUGCGUUGAUAUCCGGAAGAACACCGGUGGCGAAGGCGGCCUGCUGGGCAGUUGCUGACACUGAUGCGCGACAGCAUGGGGAGCAAACAGG
rnacentral:rRNA from 1 species